GAAACCCAUAAACCAGAAAUCAAACCAUCCACAGUAACUAUUUCCAUAUACUUUUGGGAUGGAUUCUUCAUGUUCUUACUCUUUUUAACUCUUUUAAUAUUUGUAAGUGGGAUCAAAACCUGCACAAAACAAAAUGGCAUCUGUUUAGUAUUUACAAUGUUGUGAGCAGACAGAAAGACAUUGGAUUUUUAUUCUCUUUUUGAGUUACCUUGUAAUGGAUUCUGAAUGAUUUGCGAUUUGGAGAAGAGAAUUUGAUUGAUCUCUCGCUGCAGAAGGCAACCUGGUAAGUGGAGACAAACAAGAGGCCUGCUAUAGGACCUGCUGUGGUUGAAAGGUAACAUUGAGAAACCUCUUCUUCUUCAACUUUAAACAGCUGCUUGAAAAUUUUCUCCACACCACCAACUUGAAGAAUUUUAGCCCCUAAACUAAAUUUUCCUUUCACAGUUUCACUGAUAUUUGAGCCCAAUCUCACUGCAGUUUCAAAAUAAUCAAAGUUAGAAUUUAGAUCUUAUUCAUUUUUUAUUAUCUCAACAUUUGUAGGGGAAAAUUAGUUACCAUGCUCUCGAACACCUUGUGCAUAAUUGUCAGCUUUCUUCCCUAAUUUGUUCAUUCUCUUAAAGACUGAAUUUACUUUACCUCCAAAAUAAAGAAUAAGCCAGUCCCAUUACGAAAACACCACCAGAUUGGCCUGCAACUAGCUUAUUUACAUGGCAUCAAGCUAAAAAACCUCUGCUGUGUAAAGAAAAAAAAAGGAAAAAGGAGAUAGACAAAGAGUUA
rnacentral:misc_RNA from 1 species